rnacentral:rRNA from 1 species
UGAGUCCGGGAGAGGAGACGGGAAUUCCUGGUGUAGCGGUGAAAUGCGCAGAUAUCAGGAAGAAUACCGGUGGCGAAGGCGCGUCUCUGGACCGGUACUGACGCUGAGGCCCGAAAGCAGGGGGAGCAAACAGGAUUAGAUACCCUGGUAGUCCCUGCCGUAAACGAUGGGCACUAGGUGUGGGAGGCAUCGACCCCUUCUGUGCCGUAGUUAACGCAUUAAGUGCCCCGCCUGGGGAGUACGACCGCAAGGUUGAAACUCAAAGGAAUUGACGGGGGCCCGCACAAGCGGUGGAGCAUGUGGUUUAAUUCGAUGCAACGCGAAGAACCUUACCGGGGUUUGACAUGCACAGGACAGGUGUAGAAACACACCCUCCCUUCGGGGCCUGUGUGCAGGUGCUGCAUGGCUGUCGUCAGCUCGUGUCGUGAGAUGUUGGGUUAAGUCCCGCAACGAGCGCAACCCUUGUCCUUAGUUGCCAGCGGAUAAUGCCGGGCACUCUAGGGAGACUGCCGGUGGUAAGCCGGAGGAAGGUGGGGAUGACGUCAAGUCCUCAUGGCCCUUACGCCCCGGGCUACACACGUGCUACAAUGGCUGGUAUAGUAGGUUGCAAUGCCGCGAGGUGGAGCCAAUCCCCAAAAGCCAGACUCAGUUCGGAUCGGAGUCUGCAACUCGACUCCGUGAAGUCGGAAUCGCUAGUAAUCGCGGAUCAGCAAGCCGCGGUGAAUACGUUCCCGGGCCUUGUACACACCGCCCGUCAAACCACGAAAGUUGGCAGUACCCGAAGUCCCGAUCCCAACCUUAGGGAGGGUAGGGCCGAAGGUAAGGCUAGCGAUUGGGGUUAAGUCGUAACAAGGUAACC